AUUGAACGCUGGCGGCAGGCCUAAUACAUGCAAGUCGAACGAGUGGCGGACGGGUGUGUAAUGUCUGGGAAACUGCCUGAUGGAGGGGGAUAACUACGGGAAACGGUAGCUAAUACCGCAUACCAUCGGAUGUGCCAAGAUGGGAUUAGCUAGUAGGUGGGGUAUAGGCUCACCUAGGAGACGAUCCCUAGCUGGUCGGAGAGGAUGACCGGCCACACUGGAACUGAGACACGGUCCAGACUCCUACGGGAGGCAGCAGUGGGGAAUAUUGCACAAUGGGCGAAAGCCUGAUGGAGCCAGGCCGCGUGUAUGAAGAAGGCCUUCGGGUUGUAAAGUACUGUCAGCAGGGAAGCGGUACCCGAUGAUGAAGCACCGGCUAACUCCGUGCCAGCAGCCGCGGUAAUUC
rnacentral:rRNA from 1 species